rnacentral:rRNA from 1 species
GGUAGUCCACGCCCUAAACGAUGAGUGCUAAGUGUUAGGGGGUUUCCGCCCCUUAGUGCUGCAGCUAACGCAUUAAGCACUCCGCCUGGGGAGUACGACCGCAAGGUUGAAGCUCAAAGGAAUUGACGGGGACCCGCACAAGCGGUGGAGCAUGUGGUUUAAUUCGAAGCAACGCGAAGAACCUUACCAAAUCUUGACAUCCUUUGAAAACUCUAGAGAUAGAGCCUUCCCCUUCGGGGGACAAAGUGACAGGUGGUGCAUGGUUGUCGUCAGCUCGUGUCGUGAGAUGUUGGGUUAAGUCCCGCAACGAGCGCAACCCUUAAGCUUAGUUGCCAUCAUUAAGUUGGGCACUCUAGGUUGACUGCCGGUGACAAACCGGAGGAAGGUGGGGAUGACGUCAAAUCAUCAUGCCCCUUAUGAUUUGGGCUACACACGUGCUACAAUGGACAAUACAAAGGGCAGCUAAACCGCGAGGUCAUGCAAAUCCCAUAAAGUUGUUCUCAGUUCGGAUUGUAGUCUGCAACUCGACUACAUGAAGCUGGAAUCGCUAGUAAUCGUAGAUCAGCAUGCUACGGUGAAUACGUUCCCGGGUCUUGUACACACCGCCCGUCACACCACGAGAGUUUGUAACACCCGAAGCCGGUGGAGUAACCAUUUAUGGAGCUAGCCGUCGAAGGUGGGACAAAUGAUUGGGGUGAAGUCGUAACAAGGUAACC